rnacentral:rRNA from 1 species
AUUGAACGCUGGCGGCAUGCUUAACACAUGCAAGUCGAACGGAAACAGCAAGAGCUUGCUCUUGGCUGUCGAGUGGCGGACGGGUGAGUAACGCGUGGGAAUCUACCCAGUAGUGGGGGAUAGCCCAGAGAAAUUUGGAUUAAUACCGCAUACGAUCUACGGAUGAAAGGUGGCCUCUCCUUGGAAGCUAUCGCUAUUGGAUGAGCCCGCGUUAGAUUAGCUAGUUGGUAGGGUAAGAGCCUACCAAGGCGACGAUCUAUAGCUGGUCUGAGAGGACGACCAGCCACAUCGGGACUGGGACACGGCCCGGACUCCUACGGGAGGCAGCAGUGGGGAAUAUUGGACAAUGGGCGCAAGCCUGAUCCAGCAAUGCCGCGUGUGUGAAGAAGGCCUGAGGGUUGUAAAGCACUUUCAAUUGUGAGAAGAGUAUAAGAUUAAUACUCUUGUACUUUGACGUUAACUUUAGAAGAAGCACCGGCUAACUCUGUGCCAGCAGCCGCGGUAAUACAGAGGGUGCGAGCGUUAAUCGGAAUUACUGGGCGUAAAGCGCGCGUAGGCGGUUAUUUAAGUCAGAUGUGAAAUCCCAGGGCUCAACCUUGGAACUGCAUCUGAUACUGGGUAACUAGAGUUUUGGAGAGGGAAGUAGAAUUUCAGGUGUAGCGGUGAAAUGCAUAGAGAUCUGAAGGAAUACCAGUGGCGAAGGCGACUUCCUGGCCAAAAACUGAUGCUGAGGUGCGAAAGCGUGGGUAGCAAACGGGAUUAGAUACCCCGGUAGUCCACGCCGUAAACGAUGUCAACUAGUCGUUGGACCCCUUGAGGGUUUAGUGACGCAGCUAACGCAUUAAGUUGACCGCCUGGGGAGUACGGUCGCAAGACUAAAACUCAAAGGAAUUGACG